UUUUAUUAUGAUUAUACAAACUGGGAAAGUGGAUCAUUUGAUGGUAAUUAUUAAUAAAUACGUACCCUGAACAGGAAAGAAUGGGCGUGUUGCCAAUUUUGUAGGGGAAAUAGAGAUCGGAAAGUAGGUAAGUAUUUAUUUCACGUGGAUUUGUGAGAUACAUAAUUGUCGAAUUAAUAGAAUAAAAAAUACGGUAGAUUUUUUUUUUAAUUGCCGUUUCUUUGUAUAAGGUUGGCUUGACCAUUCAAUUAUUGUUUCAAUGACGCGCAAUGGUUUUUGGAUAUAAACCAUUUUUAAUAUAAGUUGAUUACCUAUUUCUAAAUAAGCAACUUACUGUUUCCUUUAUUUUGUAAUAAACUGACGUUUUUCCACAGUGGCAUGGCUGCCUGUUUGGGGGUGAUGGUGGCGAGACUAAGUGGCGUGGCGGGGGUCAAUUUCUUAGGCUCCAUGAUUGUGACCCACUGUGCCAUAACCUUCUACGCGUUUGGCGUUUAUUUACUCAGUGGUAUAAUAGUAUCCUGUUUCCUGCCAUGACACGUAAAAAGAACUCCAUCAAUUAAAUUUGUUAGAUAAUAUCAUGUUAAUUAGUUUAUAAGUUUGUUACUUGUAUUAUAUUACUUUUUGUUUAUAUUUCAUUUUAUUAACAGCGGUUUGCGCUAUUUUAUCACG